UACGAAGGGGGCUAGCGUUGCUCGGAAUUACUGGGCGUAAAGGGCGCGUAGGCGGCCACUGUUAGUCAGGCGUGAAAGUCCUGGGCUCAACCUGGGAACUGCGCUUGAUACGGCAGAGCUAGAGGAUGGAAGAGGGUCGCGGAAUUCCCAGUGUAGAGGUGAAAAUUCGUAGAUAUUGGGAAGAACACCGGUGGCGAAGGCGGCGAUCUGGGUCGAGUACUGACGCUGAGGUGCGAAAGCGUGGGGAGCAAACAGG
rnacentral:rRNA from 1 species